rnacentral:rRNA from 1 species
CGUGUGUGAAGAAGCUAGUGGUUGUAGGCACUUUAAUGCGACGAGGAUGCUACUGUAGUUCUACCUAGAGAUAGUGGACGUUACUCGCAGAAUUAGCGCCGGCUAACUCUGUGCCAGCAGCCGCGGUAAUACAGAGGGUGCAGCGUUAUCGGAUUUACUGGGCGUAAAGCGCGCGUAGGCGGCUAAUUAGGUCAAAUGUGAAAUCCCCGAGCUUAACUUGGGAAUUGCAUUCGAUACUGGUUAGCUAGAGUGUGGGAGAGGAUGGUAGAAUUCCAGGUGUAGCGGUGAAAUGCGUAGAGAUCUGGAGGAAUACCGAUGGCGAAGGCAGCCAUCUAGCCUAACACUGACGCUGAGGUGCGAAAGCAUGGGGAGCAAACAGGAUUAGAUACCCUGGUAGUCCAUGCCGUAAACGAUGUCUACUAGCCGUUGGGGCCUUUGAGGCUUUAGUGGCGCAGCUAACGCGAUAAGUAGACCGCCUGGGGAGUACGGUCGCAAGACUAAAACUCAAAUGAAUUGACGGGGGCCCGCACAAGCGGUGGAGCAUGUGGUUUAAUUCGAUGCAACGCGAAGAACCUUACCUGGCCUUGACAUAGUAAGAACUUUCCAGAGAUGGAUUGGUGCCUUCGG